rnacentral:lncRNA from 1 species
UCUUUCGACAAGUGUACAACGUUCUUAAUUUUGUAAUUUUUUUUUUCAUUUACUCUUUUAAUGUGGUUAUAAACUAAUAAAUUUGAUUUUUUUUUAUGAAAUUUCAGGCCAGCUUCGAGUGGGAUAAGGAGGACAAGGCAAUUACCAAGUACAUAGACUAGGUGUGGAGUAGCAGUAUAUGGAGUAGAAGUACGAGCUGCAUUGCUACUACCAGACUUGUGUGUCUCCUGAUGCAGCUCUUACUAACCCACUCAAGGAGUUUUUAAAGAGAAUGGGAGAGUAGCAGUAGUUGUGCACUAAUUUUCAGAGCUAAAAAUUUAAGGUAAGUUUUCUUUAUAUUUUAAUUUUACUUCAAUUAUGAUGUUUUCUUAGUUAAUUUUUAUUAAUAUUUUUUAAGUUAUAGAAAAAAUUGGAGGCAAAUAAAGGUAACCGAGAGAAUAAGUCGUACAUUCAUCACUUCGGUUCUCGACCCCUAAUAUCG